GACGAACGCUGGCGGCGUGCUUAACACAUGCAAGUCGAACGGUAAGGCCCUUCGGGGUACACGAGUGGCGAACGGGUGAGUAACACGUGGGUGAUCUGCCCUGCACUUCGGGAUAAGGCUGGGAAACUGGGUCUAAUACCGGAUAGGACCACGGCCUGCAGGGGUGGUGGGGGAAAGCUGUUGCGGUGGGGGAUGGGCCCGCGGUCUAUCAGCUUGUUGGUGGGGUGAUGGCCUACCAAGGCGACGACGGGUAGCCGGCCUGAGAGGGUGACCGGCCACACUGGGACUGAGAUACGGCCCAGACUCCUACGGGAGGCAGCAGUGGGGAAUAUUGCACAAUGGGCGCAAGCCUGAUGCAGCGACGCCGCGUGAGGGAUGACGGCCUUCGGGUUGUAAACCUCUUUCAGCACCGACGAAGCGCAAGUGACGGUAGGUGCAGAAGAAGGACCGGCCAACUACGUGCCAGCCGCCGCCGUAA
rnacentral:rRNA from 1 species